GAGGACCAGGGUUGGCUACCUUAGAUUUAGUCAUUAUGAAUGAUCAUUAUAUGGCUACAAUAGUUUACUAGGUAGAAUUGGAUAACAAUAUGUCUAAAUCCUUGCUACAUCCACAAAAAUUUCCUAAUGUUGUCUUGCCUCUUGACCGCUGCAUUCGGGAGAGAACACAGAAGUGAGGAUGCUGUGAUUGUGACGAGGUGGAGCCCAAACGCCACAGAUUAAGAUGUUGAUGCAGCAAUGGCGAACACCUGAAGCACACUCAAGAAGAGCUGGAUAUAAAAAUAGCCAUAAA